AACUGGGAUUAGAUACCCCACUAUGCCUAGCCGUAAACAUUGAUAGUGCAUUACAUCUGCUAUCCGCCCGGGUACUACGAGCAUCAGCUUAAAACCCAAAGGACUUGGCGGUGCUUUAGAUCCACCUAGAGGAGCCUGUUCUAGAACCGAUAAUCCCCGUUAAACCUCACCUUUCCUUGUUUUCCCAGCCUAUAUACCGCCGUCGUCAGCUUACCCUGCGAAGGACCAACAGUAAGCAAAAUUGGCACAGCCCAGAACGCCAGGUCGAGGUGUAGCCUAUGGAAAGGGAAGAAAUGGGCUACAUUCAAUAUUACAAUGAAUACGAACGGGGGGUUGAAACACCCCCCUGAAGGAGGAUUUAGCAGUAAGCAGGAAAUAGAGAGUCCCGCUGAAAUUGGCCCUGAAGCGCGUACACACCGCCCGUCACUCUCCC
rnacentral:rRNA from 1 species